rnacentral:lncRNA from 1 species
UGGAACAAACUCCAUGGUGACUGCUACAUGCUUUACAUGUGCUACGUGCUUUACAAGUGUUUCACUUGUUCUUACCACACUGCUGUGAUGUGGAGAUGGGGAGCUGAGACUCGACCUUAUGUAUGUUUUCAGUUAUGUUUGUUUUGGCCCCAACCCUGCAGUAAAUACCUUUGUGGGCUUAUAUCCUAGGAGUGGGAUCGUCAGGCGAAAGGGUAUAUAAAUUUAUACUUUUCUUAAAAGUGUCAGAUUACUUUCUCAGAAAGGUCAAAGCAGAUGUAUUCCCACCAGCAGUAUAAGAGAGUGUCUGUUUCCCCAUACCAGCGUCUCCAUGACUGGAUGCUCCAGGGUGCAGGCUGGCCUGUCGCAGAGGCGGCCUUCUGUCCUCAGCCCCAGGCGCAGCCCAAGGUAGAUGCAGAAUUGAGCAGUCAGGAACUUCUUCUCAGAGACCAGCUUUCUCAAUCUCAGCAGCACAUUUCAACCCACGGGGGGACGUUUAAAACCCAAGGAUCCAGAUGCAGGACCCCACCCCCAGAGAGUCUCACCUGAUUGGUCAAGGGGGCACAGACAGUGGUGUUUUCAAAAGCUCUCAGAGGAUUCUGAUGGCCUGCCAAGGUGGAGACUUCUACUAGAGACCUUGCAGACACCAAGAUCCUAACUUCUCUUUCCCCUCUCUUCCCUUCCCCCUCAUUUCUUCCCCACUCCUCGGGCCCUGUCCUUGCUGGUCGGGGGAGACUUCGCUGAGAUUGCAUCCUCUACCUUUACUGUCCUGGGCCUGCAGAAACACAUUG